UGCGCUCGUUUGGGGUGUCCAAUAAUCGUGUUAUCUGUAACGAGUUCUCGUAUAUUAAGAAAUUACGUUCCUGGCAACUGAUAACUCUGGGGUCACCGGUUCAUGUCGCAGCCAUUUUGUAGUGGUAUCUCUGGCGUGUCCCGGUACGCUUGUGUCCAUACGUGAUCGAGGCGACUCACUUGUAUCUUUCCAUUUCCCUAUUGUGAAGUUUCAUGGUGCUGCUUGGAAACACCAUCUGGUCUCGCGGUUACGGUGCCUGCAAGGCUCCCAUCAACGGCGCAGUUAAAAUUGAUAAACUCAACACUCUGACGAUUAAGAAUCUACUGUUCAAUCUGUGUAAAGCCUGUCAAAUAAACACCAUGUCCGCGUUCCCUCCCUCGGCGUUCUCUGCUGCCCGUAUCCGGGAGACUCAGCGUGACCGGGACAUGAAGCUUGCCAAUAAUAUGAAAAAAGUUAAUGAUUCUACGAAAUUUUUCGAAACAGCAUUUGGAGAGUUAUCGCCGCUCAAGUACAACAGCAAGCUAAUGAACAGCAUCUGGGGCCUAUACAACCGGUACUCGCCACACAACGUCAAGAAGAUCAACGAGGCUUUCGUUUUCAAUGGAGAUUUGCAGCAAUCUGCUGCAAACUCCAUUAAAAACGGGGAAGCAGUGAUUAGCCUGCCAUCCCGACCCCUAGACAACGUUCGAUUCCUGAAUGGGACAUUCACACAGAAGCCUAACAAUAACUAAGUAUGCUUAAUCGAAGGUAGGCAAGAAAGAUAUGAAAAUUGAAGCAACCUCUCGGGAGAUACUGUUAUGCAACUCGCAACUUUAACUAAAAACGGGGAAGCAGUGAUUAGCCUGCCAUCCCGACCCCUAGACAACGUUCGAUUCCUGAAUGGGACAUUCACACAGAAGCCUAACAAUAACUAAGUAUGCUUAAUCGAAGGUAGGCAAGAAAGAUAUGAAAAUUGAAGCAACCUCUCGGGAGAUACUGUUAUGCAACUCGCAACUU